AUGCAGGGGGGCUCUGCCCCAGCUCCCAGCUCCCUGCCAGCGGCGAUGCCAGCUCCAUCCAUCCCACAAGCAGCCCUGCACAGCCACCCCUCCGGGUGCAAACACCCCUUCCAGCUGCCUCUUCAGCAGGAAAAAUCCCUUUUCCAGAGGUGCCUCGUGAAGCUCCUCCAGCCUUCGAGUUCACCUCUGCGUGCAGCAGGAAUUGGUCCCAUGAUUAAUCUUCGCAGGAAUCCUCUGCAGAUCCGCUUUGCGCUGGGAGGGGACAUGGCAGCCACUGCCCCGAAUUUCUCUGGAUUAGCAAUUAAGACAUCUUUUCUCACUUUAUAUCCAACGGAGGGAACUUCUGCUAGACCCAUUACUGCCUCCACACAGCCUCGCUCUUUGUAUGGCAGAGAUUUCCUCGACGGUCUUUUCUCCAAUCUUUCACUAAGGAUGCUGCAUUGAGCCGAACAUGACAAAUAUGCCAGGAAUGUUUGCCCUCGGGGCUUGGGAGGGCAGGGAAAGGCCCCGAGAAAGGCACCGCUGGCACCUUAUCAAUGCACCGGCCCUGCUGUUUGCGCAAAGGCCAAGCCCCGGCAGCAGGUCCCCGUGCCCCACGGGCAGGAUGCCACCAGCGCGGGUGCCUGCGGUGCCAUGGGGCCGUGCCACUGCUGGGUGACCUCCCCUCCGGCUCCACGGCCACUCUGGGCACCCGGCAGCCCCGUGCCCUGCCCCACCUCCUCCUCGGGAGAUGAAAAAGCAGCAGAAAAUGUCACAGCCUUCCCAGGAGCCCGGAGGAGAUGCGCCGUGGAGAAGGGGACAGCACUGCCGGCCUCGGGGGCUGCUCCAUCAUCGUGCUGGUGUCCUCCCCGCUGGUCUCCCCAUUCUUCUGCCCAAAUCCCAAAGAAAUCCUUCUUCCCAAUGAGCUUUCUUGGAGCACAGAUCACGCAGCCACAGCCACGGGUCCCCCGUUGGUGUCUCCACACCAAGGGGAGAGCCCCGGCCCCGCCGCCCCGCUGCGCCGCACAGCCCCGGCCCGCGAGGCAGCCCCGCGCAGCAGGCUGGGGCCGGGGCUAAUUAACAGUCCUCGUUAAAAAUAUAUUGUGGUUGGUUUAAACGAGGUUCCCCCGAGCCAGAGGAAGCUGGUGAGGGGCUGCGGAGAGAUAGCGAGCGAACGAGGCGGCCAGGGAGGGGGAGGCGAUGGCUGGGUGCAUUUAUUUCUUUAUUUCCCUCCAUUUCCAAAAUAAAAUAAAGUGCCUUUCUGUAGCUGUAGGCGCC
rnacentral:lncRNA from 1 species